GUCGCAUCACGAUGACAUAACUUUUCAUUGUUGGUCAAACAGACAAAACAAGCAUCGAACUGGUUUUCACUGGUUUACUCAGAGAGGCGUCUGUUUUCUGAAGGAGGCUGAACAGCAGGCGGCCUGAUUAGCAUCCUGUUGGACAAACAGCUGCUUCCUGUCGCGUCCCCGGGGUCCUAGCUUCCACCUCCCCCGCCUGCAGAUGGAGAAGCGGUACCUUGAAGGACCUCCAUGGGCAGGAUAGUCCAGGCGUUCUUCAGGAAAGAAACGAUGGUGACGAAUGAAUCAACAACCUCCGAGGCUGAAGAGGUCUCACCUGAUGUGGCCGACCAGCUCGAUGAACUUGUGGCUGGAGAAGUAGGCG